rnacentral:rRNA from 1 species
CACGUAGGGCGCAAGCGUUGUCCGGAAUUAUUGGGCGUAAAGAGCUCGUAGGCGGACUGUCACGUCUGCUGUGAAAAGCUGGGGCUUAACCCUGGCCUUGCAGUGGAUACGGGCAGACUAGAGGUAGGUAGGGGAGAAUGGAAUUCCCGGUGUAGCGGUGAAAUGCGCAGAUAUCGGGAGGAACACCGGUGGCGAAGGCGGUUCUCUGGGCCUUACCUGACACUGAGGAGCGAAAGCGUGGGGAGCGAACAGG